AAGUCGUAACAAGGUCUCCGUAGGUGAACCUGCGGAGGGAUCAUUAAUGAGUGAGGGGGCCACAAACCCCCAACCUCCAACCCUUUGUGAACGCAUCAUGUUGCUUCGGGGGUGACCCUGCCGUUCGCGGCAUUCCCCCCGGAGGUCAUCAAAACACUGCAUUCUUACGUCGGAGUAAAAAGUUAAUUUAAUAAAACUUUCAACAACGGAUCUCUUGGUUCUG
rnacentral:misc_RNA from 1 species